GAAACAAAUCCUGGCCGGCCUCACAUAUGCUUAAUCGGGGAAGUCUGCGCCCGGCUCUGCCCACCCUGUGCUGCCUCUCCUGGCGCGGCUGGAGCGCCCGGCUCGGGGCAGCUGCCGCCCAGCCUGCCCGCCUCUCAGCAGCUGGGCGGGAGCGCCUGGGCUGCUCUGGACACUCCUCUGACCGGGGCUCGGCGCCUUCAGUCGCAUUUACAGCCCGGGGAGGAAGCUGGGCCAGGAGGGUGAUUAGUUCACGACAACUGCACUUCCUGGGGUGUCUGACUGAAGCAACCCUGAGGGCUAAACCCCUGGCCCCGUGGGUCUGAGCCAGUCACCACGGGCCGAGAGCAUGUCCUUCUCUGCAUCUGCCUGAGCUCACGCUGCCCAGGCCCCGGCUCUUCAAGUCUGCCAGCCAGCGAUAGGAGGGGGCUCGCCUCAACAGUCCCGGCCUUUUAUCUCCCGCUGACCUGCCCGUGCAGCAACACGAAGCCAGUGCCGGGCUUCCUGCAGCUUGCCGAGAGGGGCUGUUUGACUCGUUCAAAGUAUGACUGGCCUCCAAAACCCUGGAACCGUGCCGAGCAACACCCACCCAACAUCCAUUUCAGUUCCAGCUUUAAAAGCCUCUGAGCGCGGGGGCCUAGCCCUCCCUAGGCCUGCGAGUGGGAGAGGUGGCCGCUUCCCAGAACUUGCUUCCCAGGCUCACACACACAUGUGCUUUCUGUCCACAG
ensembl:lncRNA